AUUGAACGCUGGCGGCAUGCUUUACACAUGCAAGUCGAACGGUAACAGGGUGCUUGCACCGCUGACGAGUGGCGAACGGGUGAGUAAUGCGUCGGAACGUGCCGAGUAGUGGGGGACAACGCAGCGAAAGUUGUGCUAAUACCGCAUACGUACUGAGGUAGAAAGUGGGGGACCUUCGGGCCUCACGCUAUUCGAGCGGCCGACGUCUGAUUAGCUAGUAGGUGAGGUAAAGGCUCACCUAGGCGACGAUCAGUAGCGGGUCUGAGAGGGUGAUCGGCCACACUGGGACUGGGACACGGCCCAGACUCCUACGGGAGGCAGCAGUGGGGAAUUUUGGACAAUGGGCGAAAGCCUGAUCCAGCCAUGCCGCGUGUCUGAAGAAGGCCUUCGGGUUGUAAAGGACUUUUGUCAGGGAGGAAAUCCCUAGUGCUAAUAACACUGGGGGAUGACAGUACCUGAAGAAUAAGCACCGGCUAACUACGUGCCAGCCGCCGCCGUAA
rnacentral:rRNA from 1 species